CCGUCCUUAUUGUGAUGUUUUAACCAAGAAGGGAACAUGGUGGUGUUAUGAUUGACACAUAAGUAGGUGUUCAGGGUCCCUUCUUGAUCAUUACUAUUUCACGUCCGUUUAUGCGUAGAUCACUCUUCUUAUUCUUGUACUCGAAUGUUAGGCACUCAAAUAAAUGCUUAGUGCUUGCUCCAGCCUCACCACUUAACCACGCCUCACCCAUUAAGCUUCGCUAGUCUUGAUACCUUUGGAAAUGAGAUUAUUGAGUUUUUGGGUCACAAAUUACUACAACAAUAGUUGCAGGUACACAUAAAGCAAUACUUUUAUGUGAGGGUGAUG
rnacentral:lncRNA from 1 species